ACGUAGGUGGCAAGCGUUGUCCGGAAUUAUUGGGCGUAAAGCGCGCGCAGGCGGUUCCUUAAGUCUGAUGUGAAAGCCCCCGGCUCAACCGGGGAGGGUCAUUGGAAACUGGGGAACUUGAGUACUGAAGAGGAAAGCGGAAUUCCACGUGUAGCGGUGAAAUGCGUAGAGAUGUGGAGGAACACCAGUGGCGAAGGCGGCUUUCUGGUCAGUAACUGACGCUGAGGCGCGAAAGCGUGGGGAGCAAACAGGA
rnacentral:rRNA from 1 species